GGGCCGUUAGCUCAGUUGGUAGAGCAACUGACUUUUAAUCAGUUGGUCGCAGGUUCGAAUCCUGCACGGCUCA
rnacentral:tRNA from 2 species